rnacentral:lncRNA from 1 species
AGCAACACCAAAGCAGUGGCCACUUCAAUGAAUAUGACCAUCUUGACUGAAAUGUGAAGAGGUAAGGAGGUUGAACAUAAAGAUAUACCGAGGUAUGAUUGUUCCCUACUUUACUUCACUGCUAGUAGACUUGAUGUAAUAUUUAGCGCUUGUUAAAUAUGAAUCAUGUCCAAAAGGAGUCGUAUAUUUAGCGUUUGUUAGUAUGAAUCAUGUCCAAAAGGAGUCGUCCUAAUGCGGUUAAAACGGAAAUGAAGUAUAUUGUUAGUAAGUUUGUAUGUGGGACUUUACUAUCCCAAAGAUUCUUCAUGCCAAUCACUUGGCUAUUCCGUCUCUAAUUUCGCUUAAUGCAAAUUAGUCCGCAAGAGCACUUUUGGCACUUGCCUUUUUGCUCGAUAACUCCUUAGUUUCUUUGCCUAGCAAGAAACUUGUUUGUGUCGCUUUGUCCACAACCGAGGCCGAAUAUUCUGCCACGGGAAGUUGUUGAAUCCUUUAGAUGAAAUAACAACUUUUGGAUUAUGGUCUUAGUCUUGAUCACGUCCCUCUUCGAUGUGAUAACUCUUAGUGCCAUAAGCUUGACGAAGAUUUCAAUUCUUCAUUUAAGUACAAAGCUAAUUAUGCACCAUUGUAUGAAAGAUCACGUUCUCAAAGGUGAUGUCGAAAUUAAAAUUUGAUGACAUCUUUUCAAGCCUUUAGAUUA